CCCCGCUACUGAGCACGCGCAACGUCCCUACAGAUGCAGCCAAUCAGAAUCCGCCCUGUACUAGGCCAGCAGCUUGCGUGCGGUUGUGCCGUGUGAAGCCCGAGUGAGUGACAGGGUUUGAGUUCAGAGCCUCCGCCUCCUUGGCCCAGAACCUCCCUACAGCUGGGGUGCCUCAGCUUCCUGGUGGUCUCGCCUGCUGGGAUCCAGUCCUACCUGCUGUGCCCAUGCACUGCUGGGAGAUCGGGAUCUGGAGCUUGGAGUUACCUGCUGUGGGAGCUGUUUCUCAAGCUUUAACAUACGUAUGAGUCAAUCUGAGUGAAACCUAAGAUUCGUCUGCAUUUUCAAAAAGCUCUGGGUAACGUUGAUGCAUUUUAUCCAUGGACCACACUUUGAGUAUCAAACACCAAGUAGCCAACAGGUUCCAACUUUCUGCAGAGAGUGUGAUGGAAGUGGUAUGUAGAGAGAGGAGAGGCAGAGAGAAAGAGAGAGAGGUCUUCUAUCCGCUGGUUCAUUCCCCAUUGGCUGCGCCAAUCCGAAGCCAGGAGCCAGGAGCUUCUUCCAGGUCUUCCACGCAGGGGCAGAGGUCCAAGCACUUGGGCCAUCUCUUACUGCUAUCCCAGGCCAUAGCAGAGAGCUGA
rnacentral:lncRNA from 1 species